GAUGAACGCUGGCGGCGUGCCUAAUACAUGCAAGUCGAGCGAACGGACGAGAAGCUUGCUUCUCUGAUGUUAGCGGCGGACGGGUGAGUAACACGUGGAUAACCUACCUAUAAGACUGGGAUAACUUCGGGAAACCGGAGCUAAUACUGGAUAAUAUUUUGAACCGCAUGGUUCAAAAGUGAAUGACGGUCUUGCUGUCACUUAUAGAUGGUUCCGCGCUGCAUUAGCUAGUUGGUAAGGUAACGGCCUACCAAGGCAACGAUGCAUAGCCGACCUGAGAGGGUGAUCGGCCACACUGGAACUGAGACACGGUCCAGACUCCUACGGGAGGCAGCAGUAGGGAAUCUUCGGCAAUGGGCGAAAGCCUGACGGAGCAACGCCGCGUGAGUGAUGAAGGUCUUCGGAUCGUAAAGCUCUGUUAUUAGGGAAGAACAGAUGUGUAAGAAACUGUGCACAUCUUGACGGUACCUAAUCAGAAAGCCACGGCUAACUACGUG
rnacentral:rRNA from 1 species